GUAGGUGGCAAGCGUUGUCCGGGAAUUAUUGGGGCGUAAAGCGCGCGCAGGCGGUUCUUUAAGUCUGAUGUGAAAGCCCACGGGCUCAAUCGUGGAGGGUCAUUGGAAACUGGAGAACUUGAGUACAGAAGAGGAAAGCGGAAUUCCACGUGUAGCGGUGAAAUGCGUAGAGAUGUGGAGGAACACCAGUGGCGAAGGCGGCUUUCUGGUCUGUAACUGACGCUGAGGCGCGAAAGCGUGGGGAGCAAACAGGAUUAGAUGCCCUGGUAGUCCACGCCGUAAACGAUGAGUGCUAAGUGUUAGGGGGUUUCCGCCCCUUAGUGCUGCAGCUAACGCAUUAAGCACUCCGCCUGGGGAGUACGGCCGCAAAGGCUG
rnacentral:rRNA from 1 species